CAACUCCUGAUAGCCACAGGAGGAAGACAAAAGCUGCAGCAGCCCAACCUAUUUUCAUCCUGCCUGCGUGACUUCCUGAGCUGCUGCCUGCAGAGAGACGAGGCGCGGCGCUGGUCUGCCAAGGAGCUCCUGCAGAGUGAGAGGGAGGAUUUUGUUUAACCAACUCAAAUGAUGGCUCAGAGACAGAAUGGAGGAGUUUUUGCAAAACAAUGGCCAUAUUCAGCUGAUGCACAAUCCAGCCUGCUUGUACUAAUGGACAAUGAACACCUUCACAAAGAAUAAAUUAUGGACAUAUUCAGAAAUAAGCUCGGUAUAUCCUCGAAAAAUAUAUAAGAAGAAGAGUCAUCAGGACUCAGCAAGUUUGUCAGCAGGCUUGAGAAAGUGAGCCAUGGGUGGGCCAGACAACCACAGCAAGAUGCAUAAAAAAUUAGAUGAUCCAAUCAGCAUUCUAUUUUAGACAUGUGAACAGCUAGCAUUAACCAAUCAUGUAUUAGCUAGAGACACGUGGACAGUAGAGAUUUAUUAUAAAUAGAGUCUUAUUAGGAAUAAAAAAUUUAGCUUCACUGGA